UCUCCUUCAACACUCUUUCUACUGCUUUCUUCUUCAACCGAGGGAGAUGAAGAGGUUCUUCUCUUUUAGCUCUUGCCAAAAUUUUAGGAGGAGGAACUUAGUUAUCUUUUCCUUUGCUUGUGCAGAUUUGGACUGGUCAGAUUCCUUUCUUCAUCUCCAUUAGAGAUAAGGAAGAGAAGGAUAUCAGGUGACUACGGAGCAGAUCGACAAACACCAUGGGAGUAGAACAUCAACAAAUUUUGUUGAGGUGGUGUAAGGUUAACUACCUGAGUUUUGAGUUACAGCUCUAUUGUGGACUAGUAGAAAGGAGUCCUGAUGUAUAUAUCUUUUGGGUGAGCUGUGAAAGUAUUUUGUCUAGUUAGUCUUAGUCUGUAAAUGAUCCUUUUGUAGCAUUGUAAAUUAAGAUGACAUAGGCCACAAUGAGUCUCCACUUACCCGGGCAAUAUGAACCAUGUAACAUUUGAUCACUUGUCUUUUGGCUUUUAUAAUUUCUGCUCAUGUUUAUUUUUUCAUCAAAUCACCUGAUCAUGUUUUUCUUGUAAGAAGCCUUGAAGUUUCUUUGGGGAACUCGUUAAAAUCUGUGAGGCUUGAUCUGUUACAUUUUGAGAACCAUUAUGAAAUUUGGUUAUAUUCAAACUUGUGGCCGAUUAUCUACUAUUUAUUUUCACUUUUCUUAGAAUGGAAUCGAUUUCAUUUCCAAAGACUUUUAAAGUGAUUGAGGCUGCUGAAGUUUUUUUUUUUUCCUGAAAAAUAAACAGCAACAUAACUGUCUUGGACUUAAAUUUUACUGUACUUCCCGAACUCAAAAACCUAUGAAAUUUUUAAACAAGUUAGCGUUAUAUGUCUACUUUGGAUCUGGAAAUUUUCAUACAUUUUGAUUUGACGAGUUAUUUUUAGUGAAUUUUACUGUACAGAUCGUUUCUACAGUUUGUAUUAUAGCAAAAAGUCCUUAACUCUAAUUCUUAAAGUUACCUUUGUAGUUUGGUUUAAUAUAUUUGUUGAGUUUAAAUUUUUCAUUGACAUAAUAUUUAGUUAAUAUUUGUUUUACACUCUUAAACAACCACUUGGUUCUAUUUAUUUCUCUUAAUUUCACAUCUUGAUUUUUGGUGUGUGACAUAUGUAAUAUGAAAUUGGA